UCAGAAGUUAUGAGGGGUGGGCUCGAUAUUUAGGGCUUUGAAGGCUCUUGGUUUAUAUUAACCUAAACUU
rnacentral:tRNA from 1 species